UCUAGUGGAACAGAUUGAGUGUAAGAACAGAGUUUCUCUGGACCCAGACUCUACACUCUGUAGAGUAGGGGUGAAGGCACCUCAUUGACUAGACAAGGAAUCAUGAAGAGAAUCUGGGAUGCUCUGCUGGGGCUCCUGUGGGUCCAUGUUUGCUUAGUGACAGGGAUGAAGGUGGAGCAGAGCCCUUCAGCCCUGAGCCUGCAGGAGGGAGCCAGCUCUAUUCUCAAGUGUAAUUACUCUAGCGCAGUGAGAAGUGUGCAGUGGUUCCGACAGAAUCCCGGGGGCGGCAGCCUCACCAGGCUGUUUUACAUAGCUUCAGGGAUGAAGCAGAGCGGGAGGCUAAACUGCACACUGAAUGCUAAGGAACGGUUCAGCACCCUCCACGUCGCGGCCUCUCAGCUGGAAGACUCAGCCACCUACCUGUGUGCGGUGGAGGCACAGUGCUCCCUGAACAUUGGUAGGAAGGACUGGGACUGUGAAAAAUCAGAUGGAGUUAGCUGGACAGACUCGCAGUAG